rnacentral:sRNA from 1 species
GGGGUUUAUCUUUAUCAUGUUUGCACAGCGAUAAGUUGGAUAAGUGGGCAGAAUACAAGCACGGCAUCCGACUUGGCAUUGGAAUUCUUAUUUCCAGAUGCAGUUUGAAUGCGCGCCCAAAUUCGGGAACUAUGCAAUACUUAAAAUGCAACUGCGGAGCUGGGAGAGCGGGCAAAUCAGGAUGUUGGGUGGAAGAGGGGAUGAGAGGGGAGAUCUGCUUGCCCUUCAACGAGAGGCACCAACAACAAUGGAGUUGCCAGAAAGGGAACAGUAAUUGAAUGAAAAUCAGAGAGAGUGAGAGAAAGGUGGAUAAUGAAUCAACGCAUCAACAAUCAAACAUAGGCAAUGCUGUUUAACUAUGUACACCAGAUAGCUAUAAAAGGAAUUUCAUUCUCUUUUCACACACUCUUUCGUAAAAAAACUGCAAUACGCCAACAAAACGAAAGGCCAACUUCACACGCACACCAAUACGAUGCUCAAACAAUACCCGCACACUUUUACACGUACGCAACAUACUACGGUGGCAAACAGAAACAAAGGUAAAUUACGCAAAACGAGGCGAGCUACGCACGACACCAAAUAAGCGAAUAACUGGUGACAAAGCGACGCGCGUUUCGGUUUUUCUGCUGCUUCCCGACAACAACAAGUGUCUA